CAAGUUCAGAGCAUUCCUGCGGCUUCUUAGCACCUAAACGGCGAAACUGCGAAUGGCUCAGUAAAUCAGUUAUCGUAUAUUUGAUAGUACCUACUACAUGGAUAACCGUGGUAAUUCUAGAGCUAAUACAUGCUUAAAACCCCGACGUCGGAAGGGGUGUAUUUAUUAGAUUAAAAACCAAUGCCCUUCGGGGCUCACUGGUGAUUCAUAAUAACUUCUCGAAUCGCACGGCCUUGUGCCGGCUAUGGUUCAUUCAAAUUUCUGCCCUAUCAACUUUCGACGGCGGGGUCUUGGCCAGCCGUGGUUACGACGGGUAACGGAGGGUUAGGGCUUGACCCCGGAGAAGGAGCCUGAGAAACGGCUACGACAUCCAAGGAAGGCAGCAGGCGCGCAAAUUACCCAAUCCCGACUCGGGGAGGUAGUGACAAUAAAUACUGAUACAGGGCUCUUUUGGGUCUUGUAAUUGGAAUGAGUACAAUUUAAAUCCCUUAACGAGGAACAAUUGGAGGGCAAGUCUGGUGCCAGCAGCCGCGGUAAUUCCAGCUCCGAUAGCGUAUAUUAAAGUUGUUGCAGUUAAAAAGCUCGUAGUUGAACCUUGGGCCUGGCUGGCCGGUCUGCCUCACCGCACGCACUGGUCCGGCCGGGCCUUUCCCUCUGGGGAGCCGCAUGCCCUUCACUGGGUGUGUCGGGGAACCAGGACUUUUACUGUGAAAAAAUUAGAGUGUUCAAAGCAGGCAUAUGCUCGAAUACAUUAGCAUGGAAUAAUAGAAUAGGACGUCGCGGUUCUAUUUUGUUGGUUUCUAGGACCGCCGUAAUGAUUAAUAGGGACAGUCGGGUGCAUCAGUAUUCAAUCGUCAGAUGUGACAUUCUUGGAUCGAUUGAAGACUAACUACUGCGAAAGCAUUUGCCAAGGAUGUGUUCAUUAAUCAGGAACGAAAGUUAGGGGAUCGAAAACGAUCAGAUACCGUUGUAGUCUUAACCAUAAACUAUGCCGACUAGGGAUCGGGCGGUGUUAUUUCUUGACCCGCUCGGCACCUUACACGACAGUAAAGUUUUUGGGUCUCGGGGGGAAGUAAGGUCCCCAGGCUGAAAACUUAAAGAAAUUGACGGAAAGGGACCACCAAGGGGUGAAGCCUGACGUCUAAAUUUGUUUUAAUGCCGGGGAAUUUUAACACGGUCCUGAAACCCCGAAGUAUUGG
rnacentral:rRNA from 1 species